CCCUACACGCUCACAUCCUCAGUUUUAAUGUUUUGGGGCACUGGGGAUUCCACGGGGGUCUUUCCACUGAGCUGCGCCCCUAGCCCUUUCUUAUUUAGAGACAGCGUCUCCCUAAGUGGCUAAGUUGCCCAUGCCAGGCUCCACCUGCGGUCUUCCUGCCUCGGCCUCCCGGAGUGCGGGAUGACAGGCGUGUGCACCCCACCCGGCCUUCUCAUUUGCAUCAGGUCCUUGCUAGGUGGCAGGAGGCCUACUGCGUUAGCGAUGCUGUGUGACUCACUGCCUACCUCAGGAGGUGAGAAGGGGCCUGCACGCAUUCAGCGUGGACCGGAGUUUUUCUCUUACUUUCCACAGGGUGGGUGCGAUCGGAGGGUGCAGAGCCGCGCUGACACGCUCGUGUGUGCGCGUGCUGUGCAUCCAUGCACACGCAGCAGAGAUCACCUCGGACGUCGAGGUCAGCUGGAUACCACGGACACAGGCAGGGGAGAGCUGAGCAAGCUGAAAGGUUGGGGGCAGGCGACCCAGCGUCCACGAGGCCAACGCAGAAGAGCCCAGCAGCGGGACCUGGGACAGGACCCGAGGUUCAGGGCUCUUUGGCCAGCCCGACUCGGCCUCCUGUCAGGAGGGUGUGGAGAGCUAUGCCCCAGGUUAGGUGCAGGUCAGGCCCGCGUCAUGACAGGGACAGCGAGGGCAGGUGCGGGGGACUGGAGGGAUAGAGCGGGACAUUUCACGGGCAGCGCUGCUCCUCCUGCCCCUCUGCCCCUGACGACUCGGACCCGGCCCGGGCUUGGCCAGCCCUGCAGGGCCCCGAUGCGCUCCCGCCCCGCCAUCCUGCUGGGUGUCUGGGAGCUGAGGACCCCGGCAGUCACAGCGCCCCCCGUUGGCUGUGAACACAGCAGUCUUCGUCAGGAAUCCCCCUCCGCCUGUGGUCUCAGCCUUCUCAGUUCACGCCCAGCCUGGGCGACAGGGGACUUAGUGAGACUCUGACUCAAAAAAAAAAAAGGGCUGGGGUGGGAGCCCAGUGCAAAGGCCCUGGGUUCUCCCGCAGCAGCGCGCGUGCGCACACACACUCACUGCCAUUUUCCUCCCCUCCCAUCUGGGCGGCUGUGACUCGAUUGCCCACUUUAGACGCUGGAGAGGGGACACUGCAGGGCUCCCCUGGGAGGGAGAACAGCGAGGCGACAGGGAGGACCUGCAGGUCUGGCCUUGGACACAGGAGAGGCCGGGCCACCCUGCCGAGCCCUCCCUGAGCUCCUGAUCUCUGUGCUGCUUCCUGCCCUGCACCCUGUCUCGGCAGGCCAUUUCUGAGGGGGAUCGGGGCUGAGGCAGGACGAUCUCUUCAGACCAGCAUAUUGGACACACCCAAAACCGACGUUGGUAAAACCUUAUGUGUACCAUAAGGAGCUUGAAUAACAGUUCAAUUCCAGCAGUUUGGCCAGGGCAAUUGCUACCUUUUUUGUUUAUUUAUUGAGGUUUAACUUACAGAAGGUGAAAUGCUCAGACUUUUUUAGGUACUAGAGAUUGAAUCCAGGGCCUUUGUGCUGAGCUACAUCCCCGCCCUUUUUUACUUUUUAUUUUGUCCCACAGGGUGCAGGACAGAUCGAAGGAGAGCCUGCCACGGUCCUCAGGGCCCUUGCACAAACGUCCCCUCUUCUGAGGACCCGCCCCUUCCUGGAGCUCCACCUCAGAUGUGAGCACCGGUCCGGAUGGCAUCGAGGGCUUUCCUGAAGCUUGGCUGAGGCCUUUGAGACUGCAGAUGCCGCCGUGAAUGCCUGUGAGCAGAUAUUUGUGUGCCGCUGUCUCCGGCCCCGUGGGGCAUGGGUGGCUCCACCCGGCUCUGAGGAAUCACCAGACUCUUUCCAGCAGUGGCUGCGCCUCCAUGGUCUCCACGGGCAGUGCGUGUGGCGCCGAUUUCUCCACAUCUCCAUUUACUUUUUAAAGUUCCAGCGGCACGGCACCUCGUGGUCAGGAGAGGGGCUGAGGCCCACGGAGAGAAACUCAAGGGCGCAAGUGCACAGCCUGCGGCCAGCAGGGGCGGGGCCCGCAGCUGGCCCUGCCCUGGGGACCGGUGGGGGUUGCUGUUCUCCGACAGAGCCAAGGCCGUGGUCAGCUCUGGAGAGCGCCAUUAUCCUGGACGUGGGGGACCGGGGUGUGACAGCGAGACAGGACUGGGGCCAGGAGAGGGGGAGCUUAGGCCUGGAUCCGAAGCCGCAGGCAGGAGAGGGCCCUGCGGGGAGGGAGAAGAGGCAGGGUUAGCCCUUCCAACCAGGCAAAGCCGGAAGAGGCCUUCAGGGUGCUUGAGUGUGAGUUAAGUACAGUGUCACUGUCCAGGGGGUGGGAAAAGUUCCACGAUCAAACAGUUGUGGGAACGCUCUAUAUCAGUGGUGGCAAACCUUUCAUUUCUCCUUUUUUAAAUUUUCUGGUUUUCUGAGGCAGGGUCUCUCUAUGCAGUUCAGGUUGGUCUUGAACUCACUAGGUAGCUCAGGCUGGCCCUAAACGUGGGGAUCCUCCUGCCUCAGCCUCCCGAGGGCUGGAAUUGCAGGCAUGUGCUACCUUUCAGAGCUUUCAGUGAUAACAAACAGCUGGCUGCAGUAGGUAGGUUUGCCACCCUCCGCCCAGUGCACCUUUCCUCUUGGAGAUCUGCAGUACCCUUUACUCCCCGAGGGCUCUUGGGUGGUGAGCUUUCUUGAACGGGGCAUUCUCGAAACCAUGUGACCCGUGUUUUCUUCUCUGCUGUGCCCUCUCUACGCCUGUUAAGUAUAACAGAAUCGACAUCUAGAGCCAGGCGUGGGGGCGCACGCCUGGGAUCCCAGCGCUCAGGAGGCCGAGGCAGGAGGAUGGCUGUUUGAGGCCAGCCUGGGCUACGAGUGAGACCCUGUCUCAAAAACAACAAAACAAAAACCUCCGGUCUGCUUUCCCGGAAGCCCACGGCUAGGGUGACCAGCUGAGGGCAGGGAGGGCGGAAGAGCGGGAGGAGCGAGUUCAGGCCUUGCCUCGGCAAAGCCCGCCCACCACCGUCUUCCUGCCAUCACACCCGUGUCCCGGGGGCGCCAAGAGUCAAGGCCGGCCCCCACCUGCAAAAGCGAUUGGCUGAGGGAGGGCCACGUGACCAGAGCCGGCCAAUCCCAGUGAAGUUCAGGCCUGUAUAGGGCUGCUGCGGGUGUCAGGAAGCCCUGAGUCUCACAGAAUGUGGAUGUGGAGAGGAAACUGAGCUGAAACAGGGGCUGGCUGAGAAAAAUUCACAAAGUUAUGAUCACAGAACUGUGAUCAAUGAAUAUUUGAACCCCUGGAGAAAUGUUCAGUGUACACUGUGCUCAGCUAUGUAUUCCAGGCUGGCUGUAAACUUGCAGCAAUCCUCCUGCCUCAGCCUCCUGGAUGCUGAGAUUACAGGUGUGCACUACCACGCCUGGCUAUUGUGCAUGAAUUCACCAGUGGAUUAAAUGCUUCAUGAGAUGAUCUCAAUCUAAGAUAUGCAUGCGUUCAUGAGAUAUCAGUAUACAUGGAGAGCAUGUGUGGACACAGCACCUACGCCCAAGUUGCACUUUUACUAUCAUGAAGAGAAAGAGCCUAUGUGCAUUGUUCAGGGUGCUUUCCCACAGCCCCGAGGCUGGAAACCUUGUCGUUCCCAUCUGACUGAGGAGGGUGAGGCAGGGCAGUGGCUCCUUGUGGCUGUCUUGGUAGGGAGCCCUGCAGACGUGAGAAGGGUGACUUUUCCCCGGCCUCAAUAGGACGGGUGUUCUGCACUUGCUUGGUUGUUUUUCUGCAAUUUAUGGUUGUUUGGGACAGGGGAGCUCAGCUUUCUGCAAGGCGCCAAGGGUGAAUGUUUCAGCUCCGAGUGCCCGGCGGCCCUGCCACACGAGCCCACUACCCCCGGCGGCAGCAGGCAGCUCUCCAGGCCGUGCUCCAGUGACACUUUGUUCGUGGGCCCAGGCAACUUUCACGUGGCAGCAGGAGUCUUCUUUCGUCCUUCCCGGCAACCAGGUCGAGCGCACAGCCCACCCUGCCCUCGGGUCCUAGCCUGGCAGGUGCCUCAGGCAUGGACAGUGCGCAGCGUCUGUCUCAGCAUGUCUCUGCUCAGAGUCUGGAGAUGCCCCCCAGGAAGGAGCUGUCCCUGGUCAUGGCUGGCGUUGUGGCCCAGGCCUGGCCUCUCCCAGGCCCCCAGUGGGCAGGCGCAGGUGGCCAGUUUUGCUGCAGAGCCGGGCAACACCGGCUGCCCAAAGUCCUGAGGGUCCGGGCGGGAGCACAGCCAUGUUGGGCCUGGAGCGGCUCGUGAAGUUGUCGCUGGUGACCCUGGUCCUCCUGGGAUGGGCGGGCGCCUGUGUCCCCCCCCGAGAAGGUAAUGCUGCCCCUCCUGUGUCCCCCUGGGCAGCCAGGCCCGACCUUCUCCUUCCCCUUCUCCUGGGGAUGGGGGCAUCUGGGUCGGGGGGCCGGGACCUGGCCGAGUGCGGGCGCCUGCCCUUGGUGGGGGUGACAUCAGUGUGGGCUGCAGUUGACAGAGCUGUGGUCACAGGGCCGUGAGACCCAGGCCCUCACCACACAGACCCCAGAGAAACCUCAGGAGGAGGGGAGGAGGAGGGUUCGUCAGGGAACUAGAAGGCACAGGGUCUUGGGAGUCAGAGGGGGGAAUUUUGAGCGUUAUCUUAGGGUGAAAGGCAGUGGUUAGGGGUUUCACUGGAGUAACUGCGUGCGCACGUGUGCAUGUGUGUGUGUGUGUGUGUGCAGGUUGUGUGUGCAUGCGUCUCUGUGUGUGUGCGCAUGUGCGUUCUUGCAGUGCGUGCGCAUAUGUGUGAGAUCACCUCCACGGGGGUGCAGUGAACAAAGAAGGGGGUGGUGCGUGAGCCCCCCAUCCUGGGUCUGGGUCUGCUUCCCUCCUGCACCUUUGUGGGGUGCCGGUGACCCAGACCCCCUCUGCCCCACUUUAUCCAG
ensembl:lncRNA